rnacentral:rRNA from 1 species
AUUGAACGCUGGCGGCAGGCUUAACACAUGCAAGUCGAACGGUAACAUGAAGAAGCUUGCUUCUUUGAUGACGAGUGGCGGACGGGUGAGUAAUGCUUGGGAAUCUAGCUUAUGGAGGGGGAUAACUACGGGAAACUGUAGCUAAUACCGCGUAGAAUCGAGAGAUGAAAGUGUGGGACCUUCGGGCCACAUGCCAUAGGAUGAGCCCAAGUGGGAUUAGGUAGUUGGUGAGGUAAAGGCUCACCAAGCCGACGAUCUCUAGCUGGUCUGAGAGGAUGACCAGCCACACUGGGACUGAGACACGGCCCAGACUCCUACGGGAGGCAGCAGUGGGGAAUAUUGCGCAAUGGGGGCAACCCUGACGCAGCCAUGCCGCGUGAAUGAGGAAGGCCUUCGGGUUGUAAAGUUCUUUCGGUAGCGAGGAAGGCAUUUAGUUUAAUAGACUAAGUGAUUGACGUAA